GCUGGCGGCAUGCCUAAUACAUGCAAGUCGAGCGAACAGAUGAAGUGCUUGCACUUCUGACGUUAGCGGCGAACGGGUGAGUAACACGUAAGGAAUCUACCUAUAAGCGGGGGAUAACAUUCGGAAACGGGUGCUAAUACCGCAUAAUAUCUUCUUCCGCAUGGAAGAAGAUUGAAAGACGGCUCUGCUGUCACUUAUAGAUGACCUUGCGGUGCAUUAGUUAGUUGGUGGGGUAAUGGCCUACCAAGACGAUGAUGCAUAGCCGACCUGAGAGGGUGAUCGGCCACAUUGGGACUGAGACACGGUCCAGACUCCUACGGGAGGCAGCAGUAGGGAAUCUUCCGCAAUGGGCGAAAGCCUGACGGAGCAAUGCCGCGUGAGUGAAGAAGGCCUUCGGGUCGUAAAACUCUGUUAUAAGAGAAGAACAAAUUGUAGAGUAACUGCUGCAGUCUUGACGGUAUCUUAUCAGAAAGCCACGGCUAACUACGUGCCAGCAGCCGCGGUAAUACGUAGGUGGCAAGCGUUGUCCGGAUUUAUUGGGCGUAAAGGGAGCGCAGGUGGUUUCUUAAGUCUGAUGUGAAAGCCCACGGCUUAACCGUGGAGGGUCAUUGGAAACUGGGAAACUUGAGUACAGAAGAGGAAUGUGGAACUCCAUGUGUAGCGGUGGAAUGCGUAGAUAUAUGGAAGAACACCAGUGGCGAAGGCGACAUUCUGGUCUGUUACUGACACUGAGGCUCGAAAGCGU
rnacentral:rRNA from 1 species